UGUCCUACGGGAGGCAGCAGUGGGGGAUAUUGCACAAUGGGGGCAACCCUGAUGCAGCGACGCCGCGUGAGCGAUGGAGUACUUCGGUAUGUAAAGCUCUGUCAGCAGGGAAGAGAAUGACGGUACCUGACCAAGAAGCCCCGGCUAAAUACGUGCCAGCAGCCGCGGUAAUACGUAUGGGGCAAGCGUUAUCCGGAUUUACUGGGUGUAAAGGGAGCGUAGACGGCGAUGCAAGUCUGAAGUGAAAGCCCGGGGCUCAACCCCGGGACUGCUUUGGAAACUGUAUGGCUGGAGUGCUGGAGAGG
rnacentral:rRNA from 1 species